GUUAUAGAAUAUUUAAUUUUUGAAUAUGUUAAUUAUACAAUAUUUGCUAAGUAAUGUUUCUUUUGUAGUUUUACAUCAUUUAAAAACAAUGUUUCAGUAAAAUUGACUUGUGACUAAGUGGGAUGGGAAGUGAAGGAAAUUUGUGGGCACGGCAGGGGCCUGGGGAGAUGGGGAAACGUCAGGAAGAUAAAUUUGUGUGGUUCUUUUUUGUGGAGUGGUGGGGUAGGUUUGGGUUAAUUUUUAUUUUGUUGUUAGGUUUCUUAUUUAAAUUCUUUUCAAUUAUACCUUUUAAAUUUUAUUUAUUUAUUUAUAUUUUCAUCAAAAGUAAAGAAUAUUUACGUAAAAAAAAUAUAUUUAAUAUAAUUUAAUUUAUGUAGCCAACAUUAAUCUUUUAUUAAAUAAUAUGAUUAUUUAGAGAUAUUGACAUUAUCAUCAAUAUAUAAUACGAUUAACGAUUCCUGGCCUCUCCUUAAUUCACUCUCCUACGUGGCAUAUCUAAGAAUUCAAGAAUCAAAAUCGCUAUAAUUUUAGAGCCUCUAGCUCAAUUUUCUAUAGCUGACGUGGCAAUAUAAUUCCACAUCAAUUAUUAUUAUUAUUUUAUAUAUAUUAAUUAAGUUAAACAUUGUAAAAUCAUAUUGUCUUCUCUUCCUUUCUCUGCGUCGACCACCACCUUCAUUUCCCUCUCCGCGACGAUUCGACCCACCGGCCGAUGCCACCUCCAUUUUCCCCUCCCUCUGCCGGCGAUUCGACUCACCGGCCGCAGCCGCGAUCUGCCACCUUUCGCCGCCCGCUAGAGAUCUGCUCUUCCACCUUCUCCGAUGCCACCUCCUUUUUCCCCUCCCUCCCCGGGCGAUUCGACUCAUCGGCCGCAUUCCACCGCGAUUCGCAGCGAUGAGAUAUGUCCCUUCCACAAUUCCACCUUCUGAUUCGAGGUCCGGCGAAGGGAGCCUCUUUGCGAUUUCCGGCGCGAAUCGCCGCGCCCCUAGAUCCCCAAAUCCUCACCGUCUCUUUGCGAUUUUCGGCGACCACGGCAGCCAUGGCCGCCGAUCUGCCCCUCCCACCACCAGAAAACCAGAAAUCGAUCUGCCACCUCCCUUCCCCCUAUGAUUUUUGGUUCUAGGUGCCUGGUCCAGAACCGCCGCUCGCCAGCCGCUGUGUUGCAGUCGCCUACUCCUAUUCUCACUUCAACUGUAAGUUCUCCGAAUUCUCACCCUCAUUUUCAGUUAUGUCAACAGAUUGUUUUCUGGUGUUUCCACUUCAUAUUCCCUUUUCUUUAUGUUACCGAGUUGGAUGGGUUCAAAUCCUUUAUUGGCUCUACUGUUAUAGCUACUGAAUUUAUCGAUAUUUCUGUUGGAGAUUAACUAAUUAGGUGCAUCAGUAAAUGGGCAUCUGUAUGGUGUAAGCUAAAAACUUUCGUUGCAUUAAUCACCACAAUUUUAAUCUAAUCCCUUAUUGUUGCAUUUGUGUUUUGAUCAUAAUUUAUGAAAUGACGGUGUAAGUUUGAAUCUCUUGAGGAUUACCAAGUGAUGGAAUGAAUGUGUUUCAUCCCCACCCUUUUUUUUUCUAAUUAAUCUUAUCUUUUGGACUUUUGGUUGCUUACCUCAAUUCAAGAUGUGGGAAUGUUUCAUAUUCAUAUGCUUUUAUUUGCAAUUCUGAGUUAAUUUACAGCCAACUGAAAGAAGUGGACUUCAUGGUCUAUAUUUGUGUUGUAGAAACUUUUAUACCAUAAAUUAAUGAGUCCGGUUACAGGCUUUUUGAAAUGUUAGUAUAAUUUUUCUUUAAAGCAAUUAGUGGUAUGACUUAUGGAGUUCGAUUAUGUUUGGAUAGCUCUUAGGCCUUUUGACUGAUUGUUCUGCUCUCUCAGCCAUGGCUUCUGUUAUCGACAUUCUCUCGGUAAUGACCUCUCCUUCCAGUUCGUAGAAGAAGCACAUUUUACUUUGUUGCAGACUACAAAUGUUUUCUUUUUUUGUUUUCCUUUUUAUUUCUUCUAUUUUUGGUGGUGCUACUGAUCGAUUUCAGAUGAUGUGGUUUGUACUACUCCUUCCUUACCAGAAUAAACUAACAUAUAAACCCAGUUUUGGAUUAAUGGUGCAUGACUUUCUUUUCUUUGUAUGUGACCUUUUAAUUGUGAAUUUUAGUUAUUUAACUUAACUAACCUAUCUUUAAUGUUUCUAAGUUUCUAAUUUUUAAUUAUUUAUAAUUAUGACUUUAAGCAGUAAGUUCACAAUAUUUAAAAUUUUGUUAACUGUGUAUAUGGAGUUCUCAUCAUUUUUCGUAUAAAAAAUGUCUCGACCCAUUCAAAUGCACAACGAGAGGCAUCUCUGCCAAAUAAGAUAUAAGACCACUUCUUUUCAUCUCAAAUUAUAUCUUCAGUCCAACAUUUCAGUUUUUUUUUUCUUCGAUCUACAAACAUAGAGUUUCACCAUAUAUUGUGUUGAAAACCAUACUCUUAUCUUGCAAGUUUAUGACACGGGUGUUUCAGUCAUGGGUGGGUGUUUCAGAUCAUGUUUUAACUGACACGGGUAACGGGCUACACAUUUUGCUAUAAAUAUUGCUUCUUAGCCAUUGUUUUAUGAUAUAAAUACUUGUCUAAAUGGUUUACAUGUCUUUUGCUUGGAUAAUUAUUCAUCUUAUAUUUGUUUUUGUUAUUUUUAAGUUAUUUAAAAAGAUUUGUGGCUUAAAAAGUACUUUUUUAUAUUCAUGUAGUUGGAUUAUUAGCUCAGUUUUUGCUAUUGCUCAAAUUUCUGCCCGUUGUGGAGAUAUGCUUGAAUAUUAUUGAUCUAAUUAGUUGUUUUAUUAUUUGAAGCUGGAUUGAGAUGCUUCAUUUUCAUUUUUUUUUUUGGCUUGUGUGUGAGUUGAUGAUACUUGAAACUGAAUGAGAGUGAUAUCCUUAUCACCUGCUCGCUAAGCAACUAUUGUGUAUAUCAUUCUAAGCAAACCAAGUUGUGUACUUGUGUCAGUGCUUGACUUUUGAGUUUAAGAUUUUUCAAUGAAUAUUUUAUUGCUUUUUUUUCUUACUUUUAGAGGAAACAAAUUGAAUAUGCUGCUCAAAAUCACUGCCAUCUAAAACUGCAAACCUUAGUUAUUUAUAUAUGUAUAUUAUAUGUAGAUUUGUUUGUGAGUAUGUAUAUUUGCAUGCUACACUGCACUCUGUUGACAAUCAGGCAUCAACCCCAACAUGUUUACUAUGCUUAAGAUAGGACUGAAGCAAGAGAAAUUCGAGCUCAGGCUUCUGAACACAGAGAAAACAACUCUUUUGAAGACUUUCCCAAAGAUAUUAAAAGGAAGAUAAUUGCUUCAUACCGUGAGCUAGAGCCUAGAAGAAGCCGAGUUAAAGAGCUAGAGAAGAUAUACAUGGAUAUGGCAAUGCAGAAAGAACUACAAGAAAAGGGUUGAAAACGAAAGCUUCUUGAAGAUGAAAUUGUUUAUCCAACGGCAGUACCUGUAUUCAAAUGGACAGGAAAGAAAACGCUGAGGGAGAGAGAGGGAGAGGGAGGGAGGUGUGCAGCUCAAAUUAAUGUGCUAAUUCAAGAACAUAUUCUCUCCUUUAUUAGCCAGAUCUCUAAAAUUUGGAGCGUGAAUUCAGACAUACAUAAAUUGAUUUUUGUAUCCGUGUGUUUUGUUAUUCUUCUAAUGCUUACACAAAAAAAAAUUAUUGAAUUAAAA